rnacentral:lncRNA from 1 species
CAAAAUCCAUACCUUUGAAACCCUGUCUUUAAACCCAGAAAUUUGAGUAUGUUACAGCACGAUAGCAAUGACCAUGUUAUCUCCCCAUUCUUUGAAGCCGGCACAAAAAUACAAGAAUUACACGCGACACUGACACUGCAGGGGCGACGUUAGGAACUGGAAGCUUAGGGCUUGUACCUGCAACACCCGCUCUGCCGCUGAUGGCGCGGGAUGGCAAGGCUCGCCCCGCAAAAACGGCAGAAAGACAAGUACAAGACGUUAUACCUCUAGCUACAUCGAGAAUUUAGAUAGCCAGUUAUGUUUUAGCUUGCCAUGCAAUACUCGUCGUCAAAAGCAACGAAUUUUUGCAUUUUGUCCAGCCAAAGCGCCUUACGGACCCGGGACAGGCCGAGUUGUGAGAUUAGUGUUCGUGGGCGCUGGCUUCACAGGUGCCUCUUGGUAGUGCGCCAAGGUGCACGCUAGGCUAAUGACCUCACCAUGAUGAGAUUGCAUUGCAGUCGCGAAUACCUGGAAAUUUCGUUUCGUGUCAUGCAGUAGACUUGGUGGGAAGCAGAAAUCCCUCGACGCCGCAGCAUCAGCCCUCGCAAAGAUAGAGAAGUUCCACCUGCAAGUAGGUCGAACGUAGCGCUGGUCUUGACGCCUCAAUCUGCUGGUGUGGCAUCUGUUCCCGGGUGCGCGAUAGGUUCUUUCGCUCCGCUACCGUACUGUACAACGCUCCACACGAAGCAUACGGUAUACCCAACCUGGUUACAACUUCCAAUUCGCGCAGGACACCCUGGCCGUACUCAUAGUGAUGUCAGAGCGGUCGCCAACAAUGGUGGAAACGCAGGUGGGACUUUGGCUGCACCUGACCAGCUUACGAGGUGUAAGUGUCGCAGAUUGCGACCGCCGCAUCUCAGCAAGAUUGGCAGGAGCAGCAGCAACAACAAUGUCGGCAGCAGCGGCGAGAAAAAACUAUACUGCCCGUGACCCAUAUGGCCGCAGUGCUAACUGCUAACGGCCUCUAGGCAGACGCCGAUUCGGGUGGUGCCAGCAGUGCCAUGGUGUGCCGUGUUUGGCUGUCACCUGACGAGGUUUUCUGCAACCUGGUGCUAGAGCAUGUCUGUGAGCGGCGGCUUUUCAACGAUUACGGAAGUGCCCCGAACGCACGAACGCGUUGUCGGGGCGGCUUGUUCUAUUUCCUAUGGAUGAGCUGCACGGGUUUCAGGGUUCGUAGAAUGAGAGCAAUCUGAACUCUACAAACAGCCGUGUAAGCAUCGCCACGUUCCUAGCCGCGAGGACAGAUUUUCCAUUAGUCGCGUCAAAGUAUCGUACAGCUGCUCCAAAUGUUUCAAAUCCUCUGUGGCUAACUGCGUGCCAACUGCGUCUGUGGCCAACAGACUUACUGCUACUUCUGUGUUCCUGUCUCCCGAAAACUGUAAUUUUG